CGCUCAGCGCUCGCCGCCUCUCCCCGCGGCGGCCCGGGCGCUCCGUCCUGCCCCGGCCACCGGCCCUGCGCCGCGUCCCGCCUGCCGAAGGAGGGGCCGCCCGGCCGUCCCGCGGAAGGGCGGAUUCGCCGUCUUCCCCUUCGCUCCGCUUUCUCCGCCGCCGCACGCGUGACGUCUUUGUCGGGCUCCGGGCCCUCGGCUGGGCCCGCUCCUCCGCCCGGGGCCAUGGCCGAGCAGACGGGCUUGACGCUGCCGCAGACCAUGGACAGGAGCUGCUGGGUUUGUUUUGCCACCGAUGAGGAUGAUCGGACAGCAGAGUGGGUGAGACCCUGCAGGUGCAGGGGCUCCACCAAAUGGGUGCAUCAGACUUGUCUGCAGCGCUGGGUGGAUGAAAAGCAAAGAGGAAACAGUACUGCUAGAGUUGCUUGUCCUCAGUGCAAUGCAGAGUAUUUAAUAGUAUUUCCAAAGCUAGGUCCAGUUGUUUACGUUUUGGAUCUUGCAGAUCGCCUGAUCUCAAAGGCAUGUCCCUUUGCUGCAGCUGGAAUAAUGGUGGGCUCUAUCUACUGGACAGCCGUUACGUACGGAGCGGUGACGGUCAUGCAGGUUGUGGGUCACAAAGAAGGUCUUGAUGUGAUGGAGAGAGCUGAUCCCUUAUUCCUUUUGAUUGGCCUUCCCACUAUCCCAGUCAUGCUAAUACUGGGCAAGAUGAUCCGUUGGGAGGACUACGUGCUCAGACUGUGGCGCAAAUACUCUAAUAAGCUACAAAUUUUGAACAGCAUUUUUCCAGGCAUUGGAUGUCCUGUUCCUCGUAUCCCAGCAGAGGCCAACCCUUUGGCAGAUCACGUCUCUGCCACACGUAUUCUGUGUGGAGCUCUAGUUUUCCCUACUAUUGCCACGAUAGUUGGCAAGCUGAUGUUCAGCAGUGUUAACUCAAAUUUACAAAGGACAAUCUUGGGUGGAAUUGCUUUUGUUGCUAUAAAAGGAGCUUUUAAGGUUUACUUCAAGCAACAGCAAUAUUUGCGCCAAGCUCACCGCAAAAUUUUAAAUUAUCCUGAGCAAGAAGGAGCGUAAGGCUGUAACCUCCAGGUGCCACAGAGUCUCACCUAACAGGUUUCCAUGUUGUAUUGGUUCCAUUGUUAUUGCACAGUAGUGGAAAAUUGUGAUAAGUUGCUGCUCCUCUAUUUUUUUUUUCUUUAAAUACAAUAAAGCACUGUCUUGUGGCAGGGUAAAUCUUUUCAGCAACCACUGAACCUAAGAAUGUGAUUUGGCUUUCAUUAUUUUUUGGGUAUUUCUGUUGGGCAGUAGGCUUUUGAAUUAUUUUCUUUGAGCCAAUAUACUGAAUGGAAAAAAAGAGAAUCAACUACAGAACAUUUUAAGUGUAGUUAUGUAGGCUAUAUCCAAAUGCCUUUUCUAUAGGUGUUUUCAUACCCACUCUGUCAUUCAGUUUCGCAUUUCACACAAUGAAGGGAGAUUGCUUUGAUGAAAGGAAAUGUGAGUCAUUACCAAGGAGAAGUAAUUUUCCUUGGGAUUUGCUGGGAUCAAAUGAGAAGUGUGAAAUAGCCAAAUGACAGAGAAAGCAGAAGAUAGAUCACUCUCUACAGGACUUGUAUGUCAGCUUUAACCACCUAAGUAUUAGGUGCUAAAAUUAGCAUGGCUUUCAGGUGACUGUUUUAUUACUGGUAUUUUUUAGUGUCCUGUUGUAUCUUCUGCCGUGCCUAGUGUCAUUUUCUCAUGGCUUUACUGGUUUGUAACUGGUGCUAGAUAGUAUUUUUUUCCUCCACAGUAAAAUGAUUACAAGGGGGAAGUAAAUUUCAGUUGCUUAUUUCGUAGUUAAGUAUUGGAGCACUUGUUUAGUUUCCAUAUUCCUUUAUGUUACAUAAAUACCCAUAGAAAUCCAGUGAGAAAGUAGCAUUGAACACUAAAGCUCCGUUUGAACUGACAGAGCAGGGCAUCCCCUGAAGCAUCCAGACCUGAGUGUGUAACUCAGCUCUGUUCAGGACUAGGCUCUCCUGCCCUAGUGGAAGUGCUGGUUGCAAGGGGCUGACACUACACUUUGGAUACCUGAGCUGAGCAUCCUGCCAGCAGGGUAGGUGCUCUUAAGGUAACUUGGCUACAUUUUGUAAAGGACUAAAAGAUAAAUACUAAAGUUUAUUUAUAGUAAGCUUUACUGUUCUCAUAUGUCUAAAGUAGUCAGCUGAGGGAAUUGUUAGCACUUCCAUCAUUUGAUGUAUUUCUAAACCUAAUUUCAACAUAAAUUGACUGUUCUGUGAAGCUAAAUUCUGACAAACAUAAUAUGGCCGUUGCAUAUUCAUACCAGACCUAAUCUAGAUUUUGUAUUUGAAGUCCUUUAUUAACAACAAUUUCUUUGUUUUUCUCCAAGUUUUUUCUUGUCCAUAUUAGUAUGUCAAAUGCAUGAAGAAUGGCUUAAAAAUAUUCUAGUGAAAUUAUUCAUAAGUAAAUAUUUCUUUUCACCAGAAAUUAAGUGAAUGCAGAAUGGACUUCCUGUUUGACUGCAAUAAUGUAUGUUAGGAGAAAUUCAAAGUAAGGUACCUUUUCUAUAGUAUGUUUAUCUUAAUUACCAAGAUGUAAUAUUUUAAAACUGUACAAAAGUGUAUAUAAAGGCCAAUUAGUAUUAAAAAUCUAUACAGGUGUUAAGAAUUAUACAUUCAAUCAAUAUCAAAUACUUUUGGGGCUCUUGCUGUAAUGGAAGAAUUACUAUAACCUUGUAAGUCUGCUGAUUAUACUUGUCUUAGUGGGCUUGUUUUUAUAUAAAACCUAAGCUGAGUAGCAACCUCUGAAAGUGGCUACACUCUGUAAGAUAGUCUUGGAACAACAAAAUACGUAUUUCUUACAGAAUUCCUUGUUUCAAGAAAACAGCUUUUCAGUGGUUUUCACUGUAUAUAUUUCCAGGCAAUUUAUUACUGUUUUUUUAAAGUCUCAUGGAGAGAAUUGAAUGAUGCAAAUUAGUGGGCUUGAAACAUGUUUCAUGGGAAAGCUCAUUGUCUCCUCAAAGUUAAAGCUAUUGUAAAAAUACAAUUAUAAAAUACUGUAUGGACUAUAAGAUGAUUUCACGAGUGGUUAAAGGUCAUUGCUCUGUAAAUCUUGUUUUUAAGUAUUGAAAAUUAUAGUUACGUUGAAUUAGGUUGAAUAAAUAUUUUUUACACUCCUUAAUGUGUUUUGUCAGUUGAACAAAAAGCCUG